UACGGAGGAUGCGAGCGUUAUCCGGAUUUAUUGGGUUUAAGGGGUGCGUAGGCGGACUGUCAAGUCAGCGGUAAAACUGAGAGGCUCAACCUCUUCCCGCCGUUGAAACUGGUGGUCGUGAGUGGAUGAGAAGUACGCGGAAUGCGUGGUGUAGCGGUGAAAUGCAUAGAUAUCACGCAGAACUCCGAUUGCGAAGGCAGCGUACCGGCAUCCAACUGACGCUGAGGCACGAAAGCGUGGGGAUCAAACAGG
rnacentral:rRNA from 1 species